UCGAGGAUCUUUGGCAAUGGGCGCAAGCCUGACCAAGCGACGCCGCGUGUGCGAUGAAGGCCUUCGGGUUGUAAAGCACUGUCGAGGGGGAUAAAGCCGCAAGGUUGAUUGAUCCCUGGAGGAAGCACGGGCUAAGUUCGUGCCAGCAGCCGCGGUAAGACGAACCGUGCGAACGUUGUUCGGAAUCACUGGGCUUAAAGGGCGCGUAGGCGGCUUAUCAAGUCCGGGGUGAAAGCCCCCAGCUCAACUGGGGAAGUGCCUUGGAAACUGGUAGGCUCGAGGGAGGUAGGGGUCGGGGGAACUUCUGGUGGAGCGGUGAAAUGCGUUGAUAUCAGAAGGAACGCCGGUGGCGAAAGCGCCCGACUGGAUCUCUACUGACGCUGAGGCGCGAAAGCUAGGGGAGCAAACGGGAUUAGAUACCCGUGUAGUCC
rnacentral:rRNA from 1 species